rnacentral:rRNA from 1 species
GUCGAACGCUGAAGCACUCUGCUUGCAGAGUGUGGAUGAGUGGCGAACGGGUGAGUAACACGUGGGGAACCUGCCCAUAAGAGGGGGAUAACAUCCGGAAACGGGUGCUAAUACCGCAUAGGUGAUCAUAGCGCAUGCUUAGAUCAUUAAAGAUGGCUUCGGCUAUCGCUUAUGGAUGGCCCCGCGGCGUAUUAGCUAGUUGGUGAGGUAAUGGCUCACCAAGGCUGUGAUACGUAGCCGACCUGAGAGGGUGAUCGGCCACACUGGAACUGAGACACGGUCCAGACUCCUACGGGAGGCAGCAGUAGGGAAUCUUCCACAAUGGGCGAAAGCCUGAUGGAGCAAUACCGCGUGAGUGAAGAAGGUCUUCGGAUCGUAAAGCUCUGUUGUUAGAGAAGAACAAGAGGUGUAGUAACUGGCACCUCCUUGACGGUAUCUAACCAGAAAGUCACGGCUAACUACGUGCCAGCAGCCGCGGUAAUACGUAGGUGACAAGCGUUGUCCGGAUUUAUUGGGCGUAAAGCGAGCGCAGGCGGUCUUUUAAGUCUGAUGUGAAAGCCCACGGCUCAACCGUGGAGGGUCAUUGGAAACUGGAAGACUUGAAUGCAGAAGAGGAAAGUGGAAUUCCAUGUGUAGCGGUGAAAUGCGUAGAUAUAUGGAGGAACACCAGUGGCGAAGGCGACUUUCUGGUCUGUAAUUGACGCUGAGGCUCGAAAGCGUGGGGAGCGAACAGGAUUAGAUACCCUGGUAGUCCACGCCGUAAACGAUGAGUGCUAAGUGUUGGAGGGUUUCCGCCCUUCAGUGCUGGAGCUAACGCAUUAAGCACUCCGCCUGGGGAGUACGGCCGCAAGGCUGAAACUCAAAGGAAUUGACGGG